GUCUUAUGUGGAAGAGAGAAGGUUAAUGCUCCCUUUGACAAGAAUGGAGGAGGCGUGGGCAACACACGUGGAAUUAAGGCAUUGCCAGCUUCUUGGUGGCCUCUGAGCAUGGUUUGGA
rnacentral:ncRNA from 1 species